UGUCAUUAACGCCAAGCUGAUUUUCUCUCUAUCCUUUCCCUCAUUCAUUUUACCUUUCAUUCUUCCAUCCCUAAAGCUUUACCCAAGCUUUCCUUUUCCAUUUCCUCUAUGGUAGUCCUCGGGUAGCUCAAGGGAAAUACAAAAAAAAUAUAGAGGAAAACAAUGGAAAAAUUCUUUUAACCCUUGAUAUCCCGAGCCUAACAAUGCAACCUUGAAGGAGUUAAGGCUUCAUAAAUGGGGGUAGGCUGCUGGAAAUCUCAAUGAGUAAGCUUUGAAGAAGUAAAGUGAGCAAGAAUUAUUGCGCUUUGGAGGGGUUUUAAGAGGUAACAAGGUUGCUGUGAAGGUUGGAAAAAAUAGCGUAGGCCGUGGCACUAGAACCCUUGAAGGCCAAGAUGGUAGAGAAUUGAACUUUGCUGUAGCAAUUAACCGAAUCAAGUUUAAGCCAAGAAGAUUGAUUAGUAACAUUGGUGAGAAUUCCCACCAAUUGAGUCCUAGUGAUCACGUGGCCCUCAACGCAUGAUGCCGAUUAUUUCACGUGUCAAUUUCUUAUCCCUGCGUCACAAGUAUGCACCACGUGUUUAAAAUGUGGUUCAUUCACUGAACUGAACCCCGAUUUGUAAACUGGCUUAACUUUUGUUUAUUAAAAUGAGUGUCUGGGGACAAACGGUUCAACGUACGGAAACAAAGAAAUACUGAUCCUAUCUUUCCAUGACUGUGGAAAGGACUUUGCCCACGAAAUAAGCAUGCUGUAAUCUCAAAAGGCCCGCCAACUGGAAGGUCUAGAACAUCGAAUUCUAUCCUCCUAGGUGGCUCUCCUGGAAUGAUGGGGCUGAUUCCCUUAUCCUUAAUUUUGAUUGAUGACCACGUUUUGUGAUGGGAUUUGAUUGUUGAGAUAUGCAAUUGGGUUUGAUUCGAACUCUGAAUAAUUGAAUAAAAAAUUCUCUGCUAUGCAGGAAAGAGUAAUCAUUACUCUGUGUGCUAUUUUUGAAAUAAAUCACUCAAUUUGCUUGGCCGCUUUCUUUUCACCCUCCCAAUGGUGCCUGCAAGC